GAAAAAGAGAGACGCCUUCAGAUUCAACGGAUGAAGCGAUGGAAACGAGACCUUGGAAAUCUCGUAAACUUCUAGCUAUUUACCCGAGUCAUGCAGAAAGGAAGCAAAAAGCACUGAAGAUCCCAAGCACACUCAUGGAGACCCUUUCUAGAAACUUCCAAGAGCAUCUGGCUUCUUCUCUGGGGGCUGCCUGAGGGCCAGCUACCCUGGGACUCACCGCCGGCUUCUGGGGGAAGGAUCAGCCCCAGUACCAGCGGGGGCUGGGCCAGGAGCAGAGAUGCCUGUGACUUCAGUUUAUCUACGGUUUGCACUGAAGGCAGGGAGCAUGUGGAGCCUGAAUUCAGCUCAGGGGAGAUGCUCCACGAGGCAGGGGGCUGCCAAGUGUGCUGACGGUGAUGUCAAAGCCGGAGCUUUGGAGGCGAGGCCAGGAGAGGCCCUGCAAGUCCUCAGCACCCCCACUUCCUCUUUCAGUGCUCCUCUCCCUUGUGACAGCAACCCCCCCCAGCCCUAC